rnacentral:rRNA from 1 species
UACGGGGGGGGUAAGCGUUGUUCGGAAUUACUGGGCGUAAAGGGCUCGUAGGCGGCCAACUAAGUCAGACGUGAAAUCCCUCGGCUUAACCGGGGAACUGCGUCUGAUACUGGAUGGCUUGAGAUUGGGAGAGGGAUGCGGAAUUCCAGGUGUAGCGGUGAAAUGCGUAGAUAUCUGGAGGAACACCGGUGGCGAAGGCGACAUCCUGGACCAACACUGACGCUGAGGAGCGAAAGCCAGGGGAGCAAACGGG